CCUACGGGAGGCAGCAGUGAGGAAUAUUGGACAAUGGGCGAAAGCCUGAUCCAGCCAUGCCGCGUGAAGGAUGAAUGCCCUAUGGGUUGUAAACUUCUUUUAUACAGGAAGAAACCUUUGGAUUUAUCCAGAGCUGACAUUAC
rnacentral:rRNA from 1 species